CGAACGCUGGCGGCAUGCCUAACACAUGCAAGUCGACCGAGAUCCUUCGGGGUCUAGUGGCGCACGGGUGCGUAACGCGUGGGAAUCUGCCCUUAGUUUCGUAAUAACAGUUAGAAAUUACUUCUAAUACCGGAUGAUUACUUUAAGUCCAAAGAUUUAUCGCCUGAGGAUGAGCUCGCGUAGGAUUAGCUAGUUGGUGUGGUAAAGGCGCACUAAGGCGACGAUCCUUAGCUGGUCUGAGAGGAUGAUCAGCCACACUGGGACUGAGACACGGCCCAGAAUCCUACGGAAGGCAGCAGUGGGGAAUAUUGGACAAUGGGCGCAAGCCUGAUCCAGCAAUGCCGGGUGAGUGAUGAAGGCCUUAGGGUUGUAAAGCUGUUUUACACGAGAUGAUAAUGACAGUAUCGGGAGAAUAAGCCCCGGCUAACUCCGUG
rnacentral:rRNA from 1 species